GUGGCGGGGACUUGUUUAAAUUGUUCUGAGUCUGAACUAGUGGUUGGAUGUGAAGUCGACCGUUUCUGGGCAGUAAGCAUGGGCCUGGUGAUCUUCCUGUGGGCAGCUGGAGAGCCUGUAGGGGUUGUCCAUCUGUCAUUAAAGCGGAGGGGAAUGCAUGAGGGCGGAAACGCAGCAAUGAGUACCUCCUGCAGGGCAGAGUCGCCAGCCAUCCGUGCCAGUCCUUUUUACCUUUCUUUUGAUCAAGU